GGGAUUCAAACUAGGGUUAGGGUUUUAAAUUAGGGUUAGGGUUUCAAACUAGUGUUAGGGUUUCAAAUUAGGGUCAGGUUUCAAAUUAGGGUUAGGGAUUCAAACUAGGGUUAGGGUUUUAAAUUAGGGUUAGGGUUUCAAACUAGUGUUAGGGUUUCAAAUUAGGGUCAGGUUUCAAAUUAGGGUUAGGGAUUCAAACUAGGGUUAGGGUUUUAAAUUAGGGUUAGGGUUUCAAACUAGUGUUAGGGUUUCAAAUUAGGGUCAGGUUUCAAACUAGGGUUAGGGUUUCAAAUUAGGGUUAGGGUUUCAAACUAUGAUUUGGGUUUCAAAUUAGGGUUAGGGUUUGAAACUAGGAUUUGGAUUUCAAAUUAGGGUUUGGGUUUCAAAUUAGGGUUAGGGUUUCAAACUAGGGUCUGGGUUUCAAAUUAGGGUUGGGGUUCAAACUAGGGUUAGGGUUUCAAAUUAGGGUUACAG